rnacentral:tRNA from 1 species
GGGUCUGUAGCUCAGUUGGUUAGAGUGCCGUCUCGACAAGGCGGAUGUCCGCAGUUCAAGUCUGCGCAGACCCACCA